GCCCGGAUGGUGGAAUUGGUAGACACGCAAGCUUGAGGGGCUUGUGUCCGUUAGGACGUGCAGGUUCAAGUCCUGUUUCGGGCACCG
rnacentral:tRNA from 1 species